rnacentral:rRNA from 1 species
UGAGGAAUAUUGGUCAAUGGACGGAAGUCUGAACCAGCCAAGUAGCGUGCAGGAUGACGGCCCUAUGGGUUGUAAACUGCUUUUGUAUGGGGAUAAAGUCAAUCACGUGUGAUUGUUUGCAGGUACCAUACGAAUAAGGACCGGCUAAUUCCGUGCCAGCAGCCGCGGUAAUACGGAAGGUUCGGGCGUUAUCCGGAUUUAUUGGGUUUAAAGGGAGCGUAGGCCGGAGAUUAAGUGUGUUGUGAAAUGUAGACGCUCAACGUCUGACUUGCAGCGCAUACUGGUUUCCUUGAGUACGCACAACGUUGGCGGAAUUCGUCGUGUAGCGGUGAAAUGCUUAGAUAUGACGAAGAACUCCGAUUGCGAAGGCAGCUGACGGGAGCGCAACUGACGCUUAAGCUCGAAGGUGCGGGUAUCGAACAGGAUUAGAUACCCCGGUAGUCCGCACAGUAAACGAUGGAUGCCCGCUGUUGGUACCUAGUAUCAGCGGCUAAGCGAAAGCAUUAAGCAUCCCACCUGGGGAGUACGCCGGCAACGGUG